rnacentral:lncRNA from 10 species
GUGGUAGAUUAAAGAUACCACAAAUUCUUUGUGAAUCUUUCCAUGGAGGAAUGCUCAGUGUCAUGGUACAUUCUGCAGGAGUUGAGCCUACUUGUGAGAAGUACAGCUACAUCAAGAUAAGGUGCUGCUAUAACAAAUACCGAAAAAUAUGGAAGUGGCAUUGUAACAGAUUCUGGUUGCUGGCAAUCCUUCGUUUUCUUUGGCUUGCAACUGCAACUCUUCAUCUCUGCCUUGGUUGUCACAUGGCCUUCUCCAUUCUGUGUCUGUCUGUGUCUGUGUGUCCUCUACCCUUCUCCUAAAAACAACAGUUAUAUUGACUUUAGGGUAUGCCCUAAUUCCAUGUAACCUCA